UUUGCUAACUGGUAAUCAAGAUUUUGCAAAGGAGAUUUUGAGGUUGGUAAGCAAAUCUGGCCGCCUCCCCUGUCAUUUUAAAUUGUGAGCACAACAGCAUAGGUAUGAUAUCAAACUUACUGCCCUUUUGAAGCCUAAUGAAACAGUAAAGCUCUAAAUCUGUGAUGGGUUUGUCACGUGCCAUGGACAGGCAUGAUGAACAUGAAGAGUUUGAGAUGAACAUGACUUUAAAAGCAUGCCAUUAUCUUUAUGCAGCAGCUCAUGA
rnacentral:misc_RNA from 1 species